CUGGAUAUCUUUUAUCCCAUUUUAUAUUUCUUAAAUCAAUAAAACUCUGCAGAUUAUUCUCUCUCUUUGAGUUUCUUUCAUGGUAUCAUCCAUCUUUCAUUCUUCAGAUUCAUCUCGAUCCACUUCCGCUCUUCCAUGAAUUUCAUUGAGAGAGUUUAUUUCUUUUCAUAUCUUGUAUAUCAAUGGCGAUCGGACAUAUCUUAGAACCUGUUUCAGAUCAACCACAACAUUCUAAUCAAUCUCAACACUCUAAUCAAUCACAAUAAUCAAAUCAAUCACAACAGUUUUUCCCUACAUCUUUUACAUCUUCUUUUCCAAACCUCUCACAUUUUGUCUCUGUAAAACUUGAAGUUGAUGGAUUAAAUUACCUAAUAUGGAAAAAUCAAUUCGAAUCUAUCCUUAUCUCUUAUGAUCUAUUUGAGUAUGUUGGUAGAACAAUUAAAGAACCUAUUCAGUUUCUUCAUGUUGCUGGUGCGAGAACGUUGAAUCCUGAGUAUUAUACUUGGAGAAAGAAGAAUCGCUUUGUUAUGUCUGUUUGAAUGCAACCUUGUCAGAUCGUGUCUCUCGAAGCAUUAUUGGUUGUUCAAUAUCUCGAGACAUCUGGUUAUAUAUUCAGAAAUCGAUUCUUCGACAAUUCUCAGCUUGUAAAUCUCUACUUCGUAGUCAUCUUCACUCGAUUAAAAGAGGUACCCGUUCUACUUUAUAUUGAUGAGGUUCGGUCAAUUUAUGAUUCCUUAGUUGUAAUUGAUUGUCCUGUGGAUGAUUCAGAUCUUGUUAUGUAUACAUUGAAUGGAUUAGGAUGAGAAUAUAGCCAAUUUGUUAUUACUGCAAGCUAUCGAGAGACUGAUUUUAUAUUUGGAGAUUUACAUUCUAAACUUCUUCGUCAUGAACAAUAUCUUAAGCAUGAAGAAUGUGAUUGAAUCUCAGAAUUUUGCAUUUUACACUAACAAAAAUUCUAAAUCUAAGCCAACAGCUAAUGAAUCUGGUGAGCACUCUUUUGUCAAACAUGACUUUAGUUCUAAUCCUUGUCAAAUCUGCAAGAUCAAAGGUCAUACAACAAAUACAUGUAGGUGGAGAUAUACACCUAGUUCUAAGGACAAUUCAAAGGCUUCUUCUAAGGGUGGUUCUUCAAAUGCAUCUUCUUUUGGAUCUACUUCAACAUCUUCUGCUGAUUCUCUUCAACAAGCUUUUCAUAGUAUUAAACUCACUCACCAAAUGUAUGUCUUAAUCCAAAUGUUGCUUCUACAUGGAUUACUGAUUCUGGAGAUGCAAGUCACAUGAAUAAUGAUCCUUCUUGUCUCACCAAUUCUAAAUCCUACAAAGACUUGCACACUAAAGAGAUAUUGGCUGAAGGCUUGGUGAAAUACAACUUAUAUCCUCUUACAUCUCUACAAGCUUCUCACGUUGCUGCUCAUUCAGCUUCUUUACAUUUUUCUGAUCCUUGGCACAGAAAGUUAGGACAUACUUCAUCAACUAUUAUACAUAAGGUGGCUUCUUCAGCUGGUAUUUCUAUUAACACUUCAUCCUAUAGUCAAUUGUAUACUUCUUGUCAGUGGGCAAGCAUCAUAGGCUUCCUUUUUAUCAUUCAAAUAGAGUCACAACUGAACCUUUGUACUUGAUAUAUUGUAAUAUAUGAGGACAUCUCCUGUUGCAUCUAGGUUAGGAUUCAAGUAUUAUAUUUUGUUUGUGGAUGAUUUUUCUAGAUUUCAUUAGAUUUAUCCUUUAAAGACAAGAGAUGAAAGUGUUUAGUGUUUUAAACAUUUCAAAAAUAUGUCCGAAAAUGUAUUAUCACAUCAAUAAAAUUAUUUCAAUGUGAUG